rnacentral:lncRNA from 10 species
GGAAAAAAUAAGUGUAUUGCUUUCAAAAUAAGAGGGAAAAAAAGUAGUCUGGAAAAUUGUUUUCAUUGCACAUCUGUGGGAGUUGAAAAUUGAGCCUAGAGCUUAUAAGACAUUCUUGUAUUCAUGCAUCUCAACAAAUAAUACUUAUGGCCUCUAAGGUAAGCUAGCCCUGUGGCACUGCAGAAAAACCAAAGACCCACUACCUGCCCUCUGACAACUUAUAGUUCUGCCACCCAAACAAGAGAAAACUUCAAUCGCUGCCUUUGAGCGCCACAUCCCAGGAAAGGAAGAAACAUGCUCCAGGGCUGGAAGUUCGUCUUUGAGGGGAGGAAGUUCCCUGGAGUCUGCAGCAGAUGGGGGAGGCCCCAGUGGGGCGCACGUGGAUGCAUUUCUGGGAGGAAACCAAGUACCAUCCGCUCUCGCUCGCUCCCAUCCAGUGUUUUCUUCCCCCACCCCCAGCCUCACCCUGCUGACCUCUGGCUCCUGCUUAGCUCAGAAACUGUGGGCUCAGAACAAAGUUUGAGGUUCUGCUUCUCUGAUUCACCCCUUUCUCCUUCCUGAUUACUGGCAUGGAGCCAGGCACUGCAGGACAGAAAUCAGGACUCAGGUUUCUCAACUGGAAAAUGGGGAUUUUAAAAAAAAUCCAUGCCUAACUCCCAAGGCUGUCACGAGAAUGGAUUAAGGCAAAAGCUGUGAAAGUGCUUUACAAAUGAGAAAGCCUCCUAUUCUUCACUUUCUUCUGAUGGCAAAUCCCCAGCUCUCCUUCCCAAGGUUCUUGCUCUCCCGGCACAAUGUACCCUGAGCACUACACAUGCCUGUCCACCUUUGCUUCAUGAAGAACCAUGAUAUGUCGCCAUUCAAAAUCCAAAUAAAGCCUCACGAGUGAAUCUACUUAUGGGAGACAGAAUAAAGCAAUGGCUAAGAGCUCUAGCAAGAGUAAAAAAUCAAGUCUCCAAUUUUUAGCUCUACCACUUACUAACAGUGUUAACUUUGAACAAUCAUUUUACCUCUCUAAGCCUCAGUUUCCCCAUCUAUAAAGUAGGAUAAUAAUAAUACCUGUCUUAUCAGGUAGAUAAUGUAUAUGUAACAUUCCUUUCUUAUCAGGUAGAUAAUGUAUAUGUAGCACUAGGGACAUAUUAAAUACCCAAUAAAUGGCUACUGUUGUUAUCUCCUCUUGUUUUAGUCUCGAC